UUGUUCUUUUUUUUUUUUUUUUUCAUGUACAUAUAUAAGUAGUCUUGAAGUGUUUUAAAAAAAAAUACAUGUUCAAGCUAUCCUGACUUCUGACCCCAUUACUGGUGGUGUGGUGGCCCUAAGUGAUACUUAGUGAAUAUCUUCAGGAGCUGAAUUAUCUGAGCUUUGUAAAACAUGUGUACUUGUUUAUGGUCAUGGUAUUUUAUUUUGAUCUUCUUCAAAAUUGUGAGGUAUAUUGGACUGACAUUGUAGACAGUAAUGUCUGACAGGAUGGCAUAUAUACACUUCUUAAGGCUUGUGUAUUUAUUAUUUGAACAAUACCUAAACAGCCUUCAAACAUAACAUUAAGUUGAUGUCAAAUGCAUUUCCCCCCCCCCCCCCCCCCCCCCCCCCU